rnacentral:lncRNA from 1 species
AUCAAAAUCUACUUAAAUUCUAUAGUUAACAGUUACAUAAGAAUAUAUGCAGAGGGAAAAUGUCAAUAGUUCUUGUGAAUGAAGGAAUUAUGGAUGUUUUUAUUUUAAUUCUACUUUGCUGUUUUUUUUUUCUUUUCAGUGAGCAAUCUGUUAUUUUUAAAAUCACGGUGGGGGGAAACCCAUAAAGUUUAAAGAGUUAAAGUUAACUGAAUCGUAAGCACUUAUAUAAUAACUUUUUAAAAGUCAUUUUUAUUACCAGAGCUCAGAACAUUGUUUGGAGUCCUUUGAUCUACCGGUUCUCUUAAGUACGUGAUUUCGUGAAGAUAGCAAUGGUUAUGGCUUUUUUGUUCUGUUAUUUUUAUUGUGUAACGUAGUGUAGUGGUUAAGAGCUUGGAUUUUGCAGUAACUUGGAUUCUAAUCCUUUAAAAUGGGGCUGAUAUACCUGCCUCAUAUUCAAUGAAAUAUUGUGUGUACAGCACUUAGUAAUUAAUGAAACUGGUAAUUAUUAGCUUAGUUACUGUAAUGAUAAUUUGGGACCAUAAACACAUAUCACCCUACAUUUUCUUUGCAACUACAAUUUGUGAAGGAAAAUCUCCCACUAACUAUUGGUUAUGUUAAUAUUCUUCAUAGAGUUGGGUUCAAGAAGAGAAAUGUUUUAUAAUGAAGCAUAUAACUAUUUUAUAAACAACAUUGUAGUUAUAAAGAAGCAUGCCUAUAGUGUUAUUAAAAAUUUUUUGUACGACUUUCUGGAGCUACAAGUAAUGAACUUGCUUUGAGAGGGUCCAGACAUACUCAUCCUGAACCACAUUCCUACAACAUAUGCCCAACAACCUGCACCAGAGUACUUAUAUCUUAACCAAAAAGUUUCACUUCAAUGGUGGUGCUUCACAAAAUCUUCAAAGUGCUUUCAUGUGUAUUGCCUCAUUUGAGCUUCAAAUAACCUUAUAAAUCGGGCAGGUAGAUGUUAGUUUACAGAGGAGGAGACAGCUUUGGAAUAGUGGUGACGUAUCUGAAGAAUAGAAAACCGGAAUAGUGCUCGAUGCCUGAAGUGGUGCCUGGCGCCAGCAGAUGUUCACUUCUGUCAAACAAGGGGAAGUAGUGGUGGAGCCUUUAUUCAGGCACGGGUCUCCUCAUUCCUAACUCCAAGAUGCAGAGGGAAAACGAACUGCUCAAUUAAGAGUUCUUCCAUGGACACUUUCUUAAGCCUUCACAUAAAAUAACAAGAAUAAUAGAUAUUUAUUGAGUAGAUAUUUAUUGAGUUCUUUCUAUUUUCCAGCACUCAUCUAUUAAGUGCUUUUAUGUAUUAACUCAUUUAAUCCACACAACAACCUUAUGUGAGAAAUACCAUUUUUCCUUAUUUGAUUGGUGAAGAAGCACACAGAGAGGGUAAGCAUAAUCAAAUACACCAGCAUAACCAAAAUCACACAUUUAGCGAGUGGCAGGGCCUGGAUGGGAGUCUGUUCAACUCUCUGCUGUAUUGCCUCUUAAAGUAGGUUUUCUUAAAACAUAAAUCUUUCAUAACUUUAUAUAUUUAUAGUAACUUAAUCCAAAGAACCCCAAAAGUACUAGCAAUGAUUGUUUCUGCAAUUUAAAUAAAUCCAUUUAAUUAUACAACUUUGCAUUAUAUACUGUUAUUCAGACCUUGGAACAGUCUAUAAUUGUUUGUCAAAAGAUUUUAUGUACUACUUUUUCUUAAUUUCAGAUAUUAUCCAGAGUUUUUCUUGGCAGAUGGAUGUAUUAAAAAAAUAGCUUUCCAGUGUUAGUUCUCAACAGUGCUGUUUCAAAAGUUGUUUUAAAAGUUCUAACGGUUGGUCUUCAAAACGUAAUUAAGACCUUAUCAUAAAGAGCCUUUUGCACAGGACUAUCUCAAACCCUAAGAAGCUAUUCAUAUUUAAGAAAAUUUUGUUGUAUUAAAUAUUAGUCCAAGUGAGCUCUGGAAAUACAGUCUUCUGCUUUCUUGUUUCAUAAAUAACACUGGUAUGCAGACCCCUCCCCAUGACUCAAAUAUUAAUAUAUGCAAUUCUGUUACAGUAAAGUUUUCACCAUGGUCAACCUAUUCCAGCAUUAGGUACUUUUUGUUGUUGUUGUUUUGUUUUUUUUUUUUUUUUUUGAGAUGGAGUCUCACUCUGUCACCCAGGCUGGAGUGCAAGGGUACAAUCUCAGCUCACUGCAGGCUCCACCUACCGGGUUCAAGUGAUCCUCCUGCCUCAGCCUCCCAAGUAGCUGGCGCUCACCACUACUGGUGCCCACCACAAUGCCCGGCUAAUUUUUGUACUUUUAGUAGAAACAGGGUUUCUGUUGGCCAGGUUGGUCUCGAACUCCUGACCUCAUGUGAUGCGCCUGCCUUGGCCUCCCAAAGUGCUGGGAUUACAGGCGUGAGCCACCGUACCCAGCCUAGCAUUAGGUACUUUGUUUUGUUUUGUUUUGUUUUUGUUUUUUUUGAGAUGGAGUUUUGCUCUUGUUGCCCAGGCUGGAGUGCCAUGGCAACACAGCCUCCACUUCCUGUGUUCAAGCAAUUCUCCUGCCUCAGCCUCCUGAGUAGCUGGGAUUACAGGCGUCUGCCACCACGCUUAGCUGAUUUUUUGUAUUUUUAGUGGAGAUGGGGUUUCGCCAUGCUUGCCAGGCUGGUCUCGAACUCCUGACCUCAGGUGAUCUGCCUGCCUUGGCCUUCCAAAGUGCUGGGAUUACAGGCGUGAGCCGCUGCGCCCAGCGCACUAAAUACUAUUAAAAGGAAUUAAGCAAAAUGCUACGUACCAAUGAUUAUGAUUCAUGAUCACCUAAACACAGAAUGCAGACUUAACUUUUCAUUCUUAGUGUGCUAAUUAAGUAGUAGUAUGGUGCAGUAAGGAAUUUUGUUAAUUUUGUUAUAAACUCCCUCUCCUGAAAUCCGUAAGGAAAUGUGAUAAUAAGAAAGUGAUAAUAGUGUCAUAUUUUAAAAGUAGAAUCCACUGUUAAGCACCAAGAUUACCUUUUCUUCCCCCUGUGGCACAGUUUAUUUAAAUGAAGUAUUAGCAAUAAUCAUGUCACUAUUUUGUCCUGAAUAAUUAAGAGUUUGCUUUUUUCCCAUGUCUUUGCAAUAGGAUAAUAUAAAGAAUAGUAUUAAAAGUCAGAGGCUUUACUAAUCUACCUAUAUGUAUUCCAUGGCUAACAAACCCUGGCCCCUUUACAUAUGAGCUCUGGAGGUUCGCCUGGCUGCCUCAGGCUUGCAGAAGGCUGCCCCAAUCACAGAGCCUGGGUAAGGUGGAACAGGAGGCAGCCCCACUCGGCUUUUCUGAUUGCAUCCCACCUGUUUCUGAGUGUGUUGGUUUGGUUUAAUUCUUUUCAAGGGUUGGAGUUGGAAAGUGAAAACCCUAGACACUUGCUGUGGAAUGUUUGCCUGGUUGUAUUGGUGUGUCCCUCUUCUUCACUGGCAUGUCGCUUUCAAGUGUACCAAAGGACAUUUUGUUCUGUUGAAAGCCACAGGACCAAAAGGAAAAUAUUGCAACUAUUUGCAAACAUACUUCCCUACCUGUACAAGCAGCCAUAUACUAAAAAGCACUAAACAAGCACAAAUGAACACUAAAUAGCCUUAUACCAAAAAGCAUUCUUGUAACUGUCAGGGCAUGGUAUGAAUUCCUUCCUCUUUAAGCAGCAACUUACCACAGGCUUGGUGGCUUUAAGUAAUAUAGCAUUAAGCAAAUGGUCAGUUAUUUUUUAAUGUUGAAAACUUCCAAGUGUGAAUAAUACGGACAUAGUUUACUACCUUUUGCUUUUAAUAUACCUGGUUAUCUAUUUCCAUUUGAAAUAAAAUGAAAGGAGACCUCAAACUGAUGCUGAGAAGUAGACAAAAUCAGCUCUCAGACUUAACUCUCCCCAAUUAAAAUAGUUUUUUUUUCCCUUCCCAUUUUUUUGUUUUUAAGAGAUAGGGUCUUGCUGUGUUGCCCAGGCUAGAGUGCAGCAGUGACAUGAUCAUAGCUCACUGCAGCCUGGAACUCCUGGGCUCAGGAUCCUUCUGCUUCGGCCUCCUGAGUAGCUAAGACCACAGGUGUGUGCCACCACACCUGGCUAAUUUUUUUAAAAUUUUUUGUAGAGAUGGGGACUUGCUAUGUUGCCCAGACUGGUCUCGAACUCCUGGCCUCAAGCCACCAACCUCUCAAAUUGCUAGAAUUACAAGCAUGAGCCACCACACCUGGCCUGUUAUUCCUUCUUUAUCUAAUGUGUGCUAAGCUUGUGAAAAAUAUAUGUUGAGGUAAAUAGGGCAAAACAUUAGUUGAUAAAUUAUGCUAAUUAAUGGGAAAAAUAGACAUGUUCCUCUCUGAACAUUUAGAAGGACUCUGCCCUACAACUAUCUUCUGUUUUUAGAAUUUGUAGUCACUGUUCUUAGUGCCACUGGAAAUAUAUUCAUUCUUUGAGCAUGUACAGGGUGGGCUCCCUGUUGUAUUUAUUACACUUUUCAAAAUGCCAGCAAGUUUUUGUUUGUAUAGAGUUGGAAUGUAUUGUUCGUGCAUGCCUGUGAUAUUCAUCAUCAAAAUAUACCUGUAAAAAAUAAACUACUGCUUCCUCUCCACAGCUUAGGCCUCCCUCUUACUAAAAACAAUAGUAGUUUCUGUAGAAGUUUCAGUGAGAAAUUAUGGUUAUAUAAAUAACAGAUAUGGCAGAACAAUUUUGUUGUAGUAUUUUUUUCCGUAGCAUUUCUUAAUAAUAGCUCAGUUUUUAAAGGAGGGGAACAAUACCCCAUGAGUUCAAAUUAAUUUUCUCUACUUUGAGGUAUACCUUCCUAAUUAUAUUUUACAUAGGCUGUUUUUUUUAAGUUUAAAUUCUCACUGUUAAGUUGCAUUGAGAGACAAUUAGAAAUGUUGUAAUUGUCAUAUCUUUACAUGUGGAUUAUGAACAAAUGAAAGUUUGCUGUGUGAUUGCAGUUUUAAAUUAUAACAUUUCAUAAAUAUGUCAAUUUUAGAAACUCAAACUCUUUCCCAUCUUUUGUAUGGAUAAAGUUUAUGGUUUCAUUUCUGAGAAUAGAGUUGGUCUGCUGUGCUAACUUCAUGUUUCUUAUUCCAAAGGCUUGAUUAUAUUUUUUUCUCCAGUGAUUAAAAAUGCAGCGAAAAUCCAAUCUACAAGUUCAUAUAUUGGUAUUUCUAGACAUAGUCUAGUUCUAAAAGAAUGUACUUGGUGUGCAUUUUUAAGUGUUUCAUGUAGACAGAUUAAUAUAUUUUUGUACAACAUUGUAUUUCUACAUUUAUUUCAAGACUGUACUUUUCAGUGACUUUUUCAAGUGCAUGUGUUAACAGAAGAUUGUUUGGAACGAGAGUGCAGUGGCUUCUUUACUAGCAAAGAGAAGUGUAAUACAAGUGAUCAUAGAAGGUGAGAAUGUGUUUAUACUGUAUAUGGAAACCUAAUGCCUCUUUUCUAAAGCUUUGUACAUUUUUUUCGUGAAAUAGAUUAAAUAUUUUCUCUCU